AUUGAACGCUGGCGGCAUGCCUUACACAUGCAAGUCGAACGGCAGCACGGGGCAACCUGGUGGCGAGUGGCGAACGGGUGAGUAAUGCAUCGGAACGUGCCAUUGAGUGGGGGAUAACGUAGCGAAAGUUGCGCUAAUACCGCAUAUUCUGUGAGCAGGAAAGCAGGGGACCGCAAGGCCUUGCGCUCUUUGAGCGGCCGAUGUCAGAUUAGCUAGUUGGUGAGGUAACGGCUUACCAAGGCGAUGAUCUGUAGCGGGUCUGAGAGGAUGAUCCGCCACACUGGAACUGAGACACGGUCCAGACUCCUACGGGAGGCAGCAGUGGGGAAUUUUGGACAAUGGGCGCAAGCCUGAUCCAGCCAUGCCGCGUGAGUGAAGAAGG
rnacentral:rRNA from 1 species